rfam:Asian citrus Psyllid, Diaphorina citri - Florida Strain, whole genome shotgun sequence.
GCCUGUGGCGAUAGCGUACGUUGGAUACAUCAAUAUUCACGAUGGGUCACUGACGUUAGGCUAUGUUGCGCUUGGUUAGUAUCUGAAUGGGUGACCAUCUGGGCAAUUCCGUGCUUCUGGCU